CCCUCUUCAGCAGCAACCACGCCAACACCGCUUCAACCGGAAGCUGAUAAGUCAGAUUCUCACUCCAACAGUGAUGGCUCAACCAUUAGGGUUAACUCUGUUAUAGAAAAUGAACAAGUUAAUAGCUUCAGGAACCUCAUAAUAUCAAGUUCAACCAAUGAUCAAGUACAUGUGGUACAGCAUGGAGACUCGGUGAUGCUCAACCAUCAGCAGUUCUCAAAUGAAUUUGGAUCGUUGGAUUGGGAAGGUGGUGCUAACACCGUUGAUCAGUCUUACUGGACACAGUCUCAUUGGUCUGAUCAUGUGAUUCAUUCAUCCUCUCUUUUUCAUCUUCCAUGAAAAAUGAAUAAGCCUCAACAAAUUUCUACACUUAUUUUUAUUUUUUGUUUUCUACCAGUUAUUGUUUUGUUUCUAGUUGGAAUCAAGACAAAACAAAUGUUUUAUUUUAACAGAAUGUGAAAGACAGCAUGAAAGCAUGUAUAAUUUAUUAAUACAAGAUAUAGUAUUCCAUAAAAAUACAAGUAAUGUAAUUUUGUUUGUUUGUUUGUUGAUUGUGAUUGAUCUUAAGGUUGAGGUUGUUUGUGCAAUAAAUGUAUCAAUGUUGCUUUCUUUAAGAUUCUUUUAUAAUUAUUUCUACGCAUUUUAUUAUUAUUUAUUGUACCUGUUUGGAAGGAACGGAAUGGUAGAGUUUUUUAACGAGAAGAUUGCAGACUGUCGGAGUAUACCAGACAAGGUUAAACUGUUAUCUUUUUAGUGGCUAAAAGUAAGUAUGUUGACUUUUGUUUUUAGUUAUCAUGACCGUGGCUACACCCUUUGUUAUGUAUGGAUUUUGUUUUUCCCCUUUUUAUUUCGGUGCUUGUUGUUGAUGCAACAAUUACUUAGACUGUAUCUUUUGUGGUGAUUCUUUUUUGCACACUUAUUGCGGGAUGAAUCACCAGAGGUUAUCUACAUAUCCCAUUUUUGCUUGUCAAAAAAUUAUUUACUGAACUUGUUUUUGUUUUUUUGACAAUAACCAAACUUGUUUUUCUUUUUUUUUAGGAAAAUAACCAAACUUGUGGUUAAUAUGGGAUAUGAAUAAUUUUUUCUUGUAAAGAUUGAAAGUGUAUGUUAAUUUUGUAUAGAGAUCAAUAAAAUUCAACUUAUUCUCAUUCAGGAUAUUAGAAUUACAUUAAUUAUAUGUUUCAAAGAAACUUAUUUGAUAAUGAUUUUUUAUUGUAAUACUUUAAAAAUAUCAUUUAAAUAUAUAAAAAAAUCUUUAGAAUUUUUUUGAAAGGACAAAUGUACAAAUAUCUAAUAUAAAAAGACAAACAUAUAAAUAUAAUAUUUCUGUUUUUUUUUUUUUUUGCACUAUUUAUACAUAAAUUUGGAAUCUUUCCCUAAAAAAACAAAAAAAAUUGUAAUCUUAGUUUAUAGUGGGAUUCGUCAUGGUUCAUGUUUUUUGUUUUUGUUUUGAGGGAACUCAUGAUUCAUGUUGAUUAUGACGGUAAUCGGUCAUGACAUGAUACUUACUCGUUUUUUUUCUUCUUUUCAAUAACAUAGUCUUAAAAAUAAAAAAUCCUAACAUACCCUAAUUUUAAAAUCUUGACAUAGUUUUUUGGCUGAGUAUGUUUUAAAAACCUAUAUUUUGAGCAAAAAAUAUAGGUUUUUAAAAACAUAUAUAAAUAGAAGAUUUAUCCUUAAUAGAAAUCACAAUUUUUUUACUCUAUUCAAACAAUUUUUCUCAUCUCAUUUUUCCUCAUUUCAAUCAUGUGUACUUAGUAGGCUCUAAAGUUAAACAUGUAUAUCGAGUCUCAAUCAAUAUUUUAUACAUUAUUUCUGUUCAUGUUACAAGUAUCAUUGUUAUUUAUGUUAAUGUUAUUAGCUUAUGGUGUUUUUUUUUUAAGACAUGUUUUUUUUUAACAAGAGCUUGUUGCGGUAUUUGUUACGAUAGAUAAAUAAAAUAAAAAUUAAAUGAGAUAUAAAAUGUGUGAUAUUUAUUUUUCUUGGUUGAUAUAUAUGUGCGAUAUUUUGAACGAGGAAACAAACAAUGUGGGGGCUGAACAUGAGUGAGCAGUCACACUCCCCGCGGUCAUGACUCCACGUGGCGGUAGUGAUAUUGCUACGAUGGGUCUAAAUUGCAAAGUGGAAGACGUAGACUUGUGUGACAAGACAUGAAUGUGAUGUGAAGGGUAGGCAUUGGCUGUAGCCUAUAGUAUUUUGGGGAUGGAAAUGAUGUGUUUGGUGGCUUAAUUGCAACGCAGAAUGCAUUAUUAAGCAAAUUAAUCAGCAUGCAUGGACUAUUGGAGUAGUGGAGAUGAAGACACGGUAUGAUAGACUAAUUUAAGCACCUAGUCCCUAGACAAGGGUCUUUGUUUCUUUGUUAUUAGUAGAGUGGAAUGGUGAAUCUUGAGGUUAUCCAAUGUUACUAGUGUACAUGGAUGGGUAAAUACGGAUCAACUCGAAUAUACCCAACAAAACCGAUGCAAGUUUAUACACUCGGUUCAGGUUAAAACGGAUCAUGGAUUGGUCGGGUGAAUAUUAUAGGUUGUUGUGAUUACAUUCGGUUUGUUAUUUUGAACCCGUACUAACCCAAACAACCUGUGAACUUACUAAUAGACUCUUUUUUUUUUAAUUCAAGCCCAACAUAUCACCUAGAGAAAAAGAAAAAAUAACUUUAUCGGUGAUUUCAUAAUCAGAAUAAAAGAAUCUUACCUAUAUUAAUUGACCCAAAGAGAAUUACUAUCAUUCAUUGGAUUUUAAGUUCAAUCUCUUAUCUCCAUCUGCGAUUUCAUAGUCAGUCGUUCCAUCUCCAACUAUUUUUCUUCGUUCAGAAUCCAGUCCAUAUAAUCUCUUCUUUAUAUCUGCAAUUAUUUUGUUUCUCCUCGUUCAAAAAUAAAAAUGCAGAAGCUAUCUUCUUCUUUCCUUUUCUUCAGAUCCGUUAGUUUUGUGAUAAAAUGGUUUACAUCUAGCUUCUCAACGAACUCCUAUGUUUAAUAUGUGAUAAAAUUGUUUAGAUCCUAGCUUUUCAAGCAAUUCAUGUGUUUUUUCCUAUGACUUUGUGUUGGUUUUGAAUGGAAUCCGAGUUUGGAUUUAAUUUUUUCUUCUCGGUGUUGUAACCCUUUAUCCGAACCUAAACAACCCUAAAAUUCAAACCCGUAAUACCUGAUUUGAAUUUCAUGUCCAGCAGAGUUGUUGCUCUCUAUGAUCAGAACAUGAGCUGAUUCCACAAAGGGUCGUUGCUAAAUCACCGGUUCGAGUAGAACCAUAUCUAGAUGAAUCUAAUAUACCAUAUGACUAAGAUAAGAAACAUCUUCCAUUACUCAUUAUGCCAUUGCACAAAUGAGUAAUUGAUUAUAUGUUCUUGAUAUUCAAAUGCAAAUCUAUAAAAUUGAUACUAAAAGCAUGAAACCUAACGAGUUAAAUUCGACUUACCUUUGACAUUGUCGUGUAAGCCAUAUAAAUGAUAAACGCAUCUCCAAGCUCCAUAAAGAUGAACUAUUGGAAUCCUUUGAUUAUAAUUCAUUUGAAACGUCAAGCUCUUGUUUGUCGGGAAAGGUGACAAAAACCAUAUUCACAAGGAAAGGUAAAAAGACAAAUGAUAUUUUGGCACUCAUACAUAUUGAUGUAUGUGGACCACUAAGUACACCAGCUAAAGUAUGUUUUCAAUGCUUCAUUACAUUCACUCAUGAUUUUAGUAGAUUUGGAUAUGUG
rnacentral:lncRNA from 1 species